rnacentral:miRNA from 14 species
GAAAUACCUCCAUGAGAUCCAGCUGUAAGGAAUUUUCUCAAUUAGUGAACAAGGGUGAGAGGGCACAUUGUGGGUGGGGCCAUCUCUGGGCUGGUAGUCUUG